rnacentral:rRNA from 1 species
GACGAACGCUGGCGGCGUGCUUAACACAUGCAAGUCGAACGGAAAGGCCCUGCUUUCGUGGUGUGCUCGAGUGGCGAAAGGGUGAGUAACACGUGUGUAACCUGCCUGUUACUUUGGGAUAUCUUCAGGAAACUGGGGCUAAUACCGGAUAUUAGCUCCUGCUGCAUGGUGUGGGGUGGAAAGUUUGGGCGGUUGGGGUUGGACUCGCGGCUUAUCGGCCUGUUGGUGGGGUAGUGGCUUACCAAGGCUUUGACGGGUAGCCGGCCUGAGAGGUGGACCGGCCACACUGGGACUGAGACACGGCCCAGACUCCGACGGGAGGCAGCAGUGAGGAGUAUUGCACAAUGGGCGGAAGCCUGAUGCAGCAACGCCGCGUGUGGGAUGACGGCCUUCGGGUUGUAAACCGCUUUCGCCUGUGACGAAGCGGGAGUGACGGUAAUGGGUAAAGAAGCACCGGCUAACUACGUG